rnacentral:rRNA from 1 species
AUUGAACGCUGGCGGAAUGCUUUACACAUGCAAGUCGAACGGCAGCACGGGGGCAACCCUGGUGGCGAGUGGCGAACGGGAGAGUAAUACAUCGGAACGUGCCCAGUCGUGGGGGAUAACGUAGCGAAAGUUACGCUAAUACCGCAUACGAUCUACGGAUGAAAGCGGGGGACCGUAAGGCCUCGCGCGAUUGGAGCGGCCGAUAUCAGAUUAGGUAGUUGGUGGGGUAAAGGCCCACCAAGCCAACGAUCUGUAGCUGGUCUGAGAGGACGACCAGCACACACUGGAACUGAGACACGGUCCAGACUCCUACGGGAGGCAGCAGUGGGGAAUUUUGGACAAUGGGCGAAAGCCUGAUCCAGCCAUUCCGCGUGCAGGAUGAAGGCCCUCGGGCUGUAAACUGCUUUUGUACAGAACGAAAAGGUUUCUACUAAUACUAGGAGCUCAUGACGGUACUGUAAGAAUAAGCACCGGCUAACUACGUGCCAGCCGCCGCAGUAA